rnacentral:rRNA from 1 species
AUUGAACGCUGGCGGCAUGCCUUACACAUGCAAGUCGAACGGUAACGGGCCUUCGGGUGCCGACGAGUGGCGAACGGGUGAGUAAUACAUCGGAACGUGCCCGAUCGUGGGGGAUAACGAGGCGAAAGCUUUGCUAAUACCGCAUACGAACUACGGAUGAAAGCAGGGGACCGCAAGGCCUUGCGCGGACGGAGCGGCCGAUGGCAGAUUAGGUAGUUGGUGGGAUAAAAGCUUACCAAGCCGACGAUCUGUAGCUGGUCUGAGAGGAUGAUCCGCCACACUGGGACUGAGACACGGCCCAGACUCCUACGGGAGGCAGCAGUGGGGAAUUUUGGACAAUGGGCGCAAGCCUGAUCCAGCCAUGCCGCGUGCAGGAUGAAGGCCUUCGGGUUGUAAACUGCUUUUGUACGGAACGAAAAGCCUUCUUUUAAUACAGGAGGGUCAUGACGGUACCGUAAGAAUAAGCACCGGCUAACUACGUG